ensembl:lncRNA
CAGUAAUCAAGGUAAGACCCAGAUGCAGACUGUUGAAGUAACAAUGUUUAUUGUAGCAACAGGGGCAGGAACAGACCGGUCAAGGCAGGCAGGGGUUGACAAUCCAGGGUAGAGCAAAGGUACAGGACGGCAGGCUCAGGGACAGGCAGAAAGGUAAGGUGGGCAGGUACAGGCUCAGGGACAGGCAGAGAGGUAAGGUGGGCGGGUACAGGCUCAGGGACAGGCAGAGAGGUAAGGUGGGCGGGUACAGGCUCAGGGACAGGCAGAGAGGUAAGGUGAGCGGGUACAGGCUCAGGGACAGGCAGAGAGGUAAGGUGGGCGGGUACAGGCUCA